UAGGGAAUAUUGGUCAAUGGAGGCAACUCUGAACCAGCCAUGCCGCGUGCAGGACUAAGGCCCUAUGGGUCGUAAACUGCUUUUGAACGGGAAGAAAUGUAUCUACGUGUAGAUAUUUGACGGUACCGUUAGAAUAAGGAUCGGCUAACUUCGUGCCAGCAGCCGCGGUAAUACAGAGGUCUCAAGCGUUGUUCGGAUUCAUUGGGCGUAAAGGGUGCGUAGGCGGCUUGGUAAGUCAGAUGUGAAAUCCUGGGGCUCAACCUCGGAACUGCAUUUGAUACUGCCAGGCUAGAGUACUGGAGAGGAGACUGGAAUUUACGGUGUAGCAGUGAAAUGCGUAGAUAUGCGGAGGAACACCGAUGGCGAAGGCAGCCCCCUGGGAUAAUACUGACGCUCAUGCACGAAAGCGUGGGGAGCAAACAGG
rnacentral:rRNA from 1 species